rnacentral:rRNA from 1 species
GUCCUGGCUCAGAUUGAACGCUGGCGGAAUGCUUUACACAUGCAAGUCGAACGGUAGAGGGGGCAACCCUUGAGAGUGGCGAACGGGUGAGUAAUAUAUCGGAACGUGCCCAGUCGUGGGGGAUAACGUAGCGAAAGCUACGCUAAUACCGCAUACGAUCUACGGAUGAAAGCGGGGGAUCGCAAGACCUCGCGCGAUUGGAGCGGCCGAUAUCAGAUUAGGUAGUUGGUGAGGUAAAGGCUCACCAAGCCGACGAUCUGUAGCUGGUCUGAGAGGACGACCAGCCACACUGGGACUGAGACACGGCCCAGACUCCUACGGGAGGCAGCAGUGGGGAAUUUUGGACAAUGGGCGCAAGCCUGAUCCAGCAAUGCCGCGUGCAGGAUGAAGGCCUUCGGGUUGUAAACUGCUUUUGUACGGAACGAAACGGUGAGCUCUAAUACAGUUUGCUAAUGACGGUACCGUAAGAAUAAGCACCGGCUAACUACGUG